rnacentral:tRNA from 1 species
UGCUCGCCUGCCACGCGGGCGGCCCGGGUUCGAUUCCCGGCCGAUGCA